CCAAUGGUAUCGCACAGAGUUACUCCGGAUAGCACAUGAUAUUCCGCUAUCCGGACAUUUAGGGGUCAGUCGCACCCGGCACCGACUGACCCAAAGUUUCUUUUGGCCGGGGGUUAGUCAGGAAGUCCGCAGGUACUGCAACACGUGUGACACGUGCCAAAGGGUAGGGAAGAGAGGGGAUCGGCGGAAGGCAAAAUUGCACCCGCUACCCAUAAUAGAGGAGCCCUUCAGCAGAGUGG